CGGGACGGGUGAGUAAUGUCUGGGAAACUGUCGAUGGAGGGGGAUAACUACUGGAAACGGUAGCUAAUACCGCAUAACGUCGCAAGACCAAAGAGGGGGACCUUCGGGCCUCUUGCCAUCGGAUGUGCCCAGAUGGGAUUAGCUAGUAGGUGGGGUAACGGCUCACCUAGGCGACGAUCCCUAGCUGGUCUGAGAGGAUGACCAGCCACACUGGAACUGAGACACGGUCCAG
rnacentral:rRNA from 1 species